rnacentral:rRNA from 1 species
CCUACGGGAGGCAGCAGUGGGGAAUAUUGCACAAUGGGGGAAACCCUGAUGCAGCCACGCCGCGUGAGUGAAGAAGUAUUUCGGUAUGUAAAGUUCUAUCAGCAGGGAAGAAAAUGACGGUCCCUGAUUAAGAAGCCCCGGCUAACUACGUGCCAGCAGCCGCGGUACUACGUCGGCGGCAAGCGUUAUCCGGAUUUACUGGGUGUAAAGGGAGCGUAGACGGCAGCACAAGUCUGGAGUGAAAUGCCGGGGCUUAACCCCGGAACUGCUUUGGAAACUGUCAAGCUAGAGUGCAGGAGAGGUAAGUGGAAUUCCUAGUGUAGCGGUGAAAUGCGUAGAUAUUAGGAGGAACACCAGUGGCGAAGGCGGCUUACUGGACUGUAACUGACGUUGAGGCUCGAAAGCGUGGGGAGCAAACAGGAUUAGAUACCCGAGUAGUC